ACUUAGGUUAAACCACUAAAACCAGUGACCUUCAAAGCCACAAACAAGAGAUAACACCUCUUAGCCCC
rnacentral:tRNA from 1 species